AAGAUGGCAGUCACCUCAGCAAGAGAGGCAUGCGUGUCUUUGCCAACAGGUUGGCCAGCCUGGUUAGGAGGGCUUUAAAUUAAGCAAGAAGGGGGAAAGGGAGUGCUAUAGUAGCAGG